rnacentral:snRNA from 1 species
GUGCUCGCUUCGGCAGCACAUAUACUAAGACUGGAACGAUACCGAGAAGAUGAGCAUGGCCCUCGCGCAAGGAUGACAUGCAAAUUCGUGAAGCGUUACAUAUUUUU